ACCGUGAGGGAAAGGUGAAAAGCAUCUCGAACAGAGAAGUGAAAAGAACCUGAAACCGUGCGCUUACAAGCGGUAGGAGCCCUUUGGGGUGACUGCGUGCCUUUUGCAUAAUGAGCCUACGAGUUACUCCUCUCUGGCAAGGUUAACCCCGUUUCGGGGGAAGCCGUAGCGAAAGCAAGUCUGAAUAGGGCGAACAGUCAGAGGGGGUAGACGCGAAACUUUAGUGAUCUACCCAUGACCAGGAUGAAGUGUCAGUAACAUGACAUGGAGGUCCGAACCAGUUGACGUUGAAAAGUCUUUGGAUGAGUUGUGGGUAGGGGUGAAAGGCCAAUCAAACCGG
rnacentral:rRNA from 12 species